GAUGAACGCUGGCGGCGUGCCUAAUACAUGCAAGUCGAGCGAACGGACGAGAAGCUUGCUUCUCUGAUGUUAGCGGCGGACGGGUGAGUAACACGUGGAUAACCUACCUAUAAGACUGGGAUAACUUCGGGAAACCGUAGCUAAUACCGGAUAAUAUUUUGAACCGCAUGGUUCAAAAGUGAAAGACGGUCUUGCUGUCACUUAUAGAUGGAUCCGCGCUGCAUUAGCUAGUUGGUAAGGUAACGGCUUACCAAGGCAACGAUGCAUAGCCGACCUGAGAGGGUGAUCGGCCACACUGGAACUGAGACACGGUCCAGACUCCUACGGGAGGCAGCAGUAGGGAAUCUUCCGCAAUGGGCGAAAGCCUGACGGAGCAACGCCGCGUGAGUGAUGAAGGUCUUCGGAUCGUAAAACUCUGUUAUUAGGGAAGAACAUAAGUGUAAGUAACUGUGCACAUCUUGACGGUACCUAAUCAGAAAGCCACGGCUAACUACGUG
rnacentral:rRNA from 1 species